CAGGGUGACAGCCCCGUACACAAAAAUGCACAUGCUGUGAGCUCGAUGAGUAGGGCGGGACACGUGGUAUCCUGUCUGAAUAUGGGGGGACCAUCCUCCAAGGCUAAAUACUCCUGACUGACCGAUAGUGAACCAGUACCGUGAGGGAAAGGCGAAAAGAACCCCGGCGAGGGGAGUGAAAAAGAACCUGAAACCGUGUACGUACAAGCAGUGGGAGCACGCUUAGGCGUGUGACUGCGUACCUUUUGUAUAAUGGGUCAGCGACUUAUAUUCUGUAGCAAGGUUAACCGAAUAGGGGAGCCGAAGGGAAACCGAGUCUUAACUGGGCGUUAAGUUGCAGGGUAUAGACCCGAAACCCGGUGAUCUAGCCAUGGGCAGGUUGAAGGUUGGGUAACACUAACUGGAGGACCGAACCGACUAAUGUUGAAAAAUUAGCGGAUGACUUGUGGCUGGGGGUGAAAGGCCAAUCAAACCGGGAGAUAGCUGGUUCUCCCCGAAAGCUAUUUAGGUAGCGCCUCGUGAAUUCAUCUCCGGGGGUAGAGCACUGUUUCGGCAAGGGGGUCAUCCCGACUUACCAACCCGAUGCAAACUGCGAAUACCGGAGAAUGUUAUCACGGGAGACACACGGCGGGUGCUAACGUCCGUCGUGAAGAGGGAAACAACCCAGACCGCCAGCUAAGGUCCCAAAGUCAUGGUUAAGUGGGAAACGAUGUGGGAAGGCCCAGACAGCCAGGAUGUUGGCUUAGAAGCAGCCAUCAUUUAAAGAAAGCGUAAUAGCUCACUGGUCGAGUCGGCCUGCGCGGAAGAUGUAACGGGGCUAAACCAUG
rnacentral:rRNA from 1 species